rnacentral:rRNA from 1 species
UCAUAGUAGAUAUGAUGCAAGAUCGACUAUGUUGAAUAAAAUUCUAGGUAGAAUUAUGAUAAUGACAUUGUCUGCCUAUGUGUCUUGACCAAAUUACGUGCCAGCAGUCGCGGUAAUACGUAGAAGACUAGUGUUAUUCAUGUUUAAUCGGUUUAAAGGGUACCUAGACGGUAGAUCAAGCUUUCUAAUAAAGGAAAAGGACUAAUUUACUAGAGUUACUUAUGAGGGGGUAUUAAAGUACUGCUGGUGUAGAGAUGAAAUUCUGUCAUACCUCUUUUCAAAAGAAAAACCAUGGCACAGGUAUAGGCGAAGGCAUCCCCUUAUGUGAUAACUGACGUUGAGGGACGAAGGCUUUGUGUAGCGAACAGGAUUAGAUACCCCAGUAGUCGAAGCAGAAAAUGAUGAAUGUCAUAGAUUAGAUAUAUAAGUUUAUUCUAUAAAUGAAAGUGUAAGCAUUCCACCUCAUGAGUAAUUUGGCAACAUUGGAACUGAAAUCAUUAGACCGUUUCUGAAACCAGUAGUGAAGUAUGUUGUUUAAUUUGAUGAUCCGCAAAAAACCUUACCACAAUUUGAAUAUUUAUAUUAUUUAUUGUUUUAUUAUUAAUUUUCUUGAACGUAUAGAUCACGUAAAAGAAAACAAGACUUAAAUUGACAAUAGUAAGAAAAUUAAUAAAGAGGCAAUAAGAUAUAUUUACAAGCGUUGCACGGCUGUCUUCAGUUAAUGUCGCGAGACUUUGGUUAGUUCCAUUAAAUUAACGUAAACCCUUACUUUAUUUUUAUAUAGAGUAGUUCCCCGCUAUAUUGGAUAUGAUAACAGGGGCUAAGCC